GUUCUUAUCACCAGGGGGCGGAAUAGCGCGUUUCAAAAAUCCCGGCUCUUGUCCCGUCGUUGUUGCCGUAGCUACCGGGGAACGGAGGUCGGGCGUGCGCCUGGAACAAAUGCUGCGAAAUGUUCUACAACAGUUUGAUAACUGAAAUUAAUGUGCUUUUACAACGGGGUGGGCUAUAGACAAGUAUUUGAAUUUCAUUAAAAUUGCGUUCAUAAAUCGCAGGUUGUGCGAAAUCUUUUUGAAAAAGGCACAGAACAGCGAAAGCGGUCCGUCCGUUUUGUCCUACAAAGGCGCCGGGAGUUUGACAGCGGCGGGCCUGGCGUCUGCUAAACUGCGGGAGGCAGACGGCAGCCAGAGGACUUCAUGACACAGUAAUCACGCUCCUUUAUAGAGGGAAGCCAGCUCAAAAUGAGGAAAGACGUCAGGAUAUUGCUGGUCGGGGAACCCAAAGUGGGGAAGACAUCACUGAUUAUGUCUCUUGUCAGUGAAGAGUUUCCUGAUGAGGUUCCUCUUCGAGCUGAGGAAAUUACUAUUCCAGCUGAUGUCACCCCAGAGAGGGUUCCCACUCACAUUGUGGACUACUCGGCAGAGCAGUCAGAAGAGCAGCUGUAUCAAGAAAUAUCAAAGGCGAAUGUUAUCUGUAUAGUUUAUUCAGUCAACAACAAGAAGUCCAUUGAAAAGGUGACAAGCCACUGGAUUCCCCUUAUAAACGACAGAACAGACAAGGAUAGCAGGGUACCACUGAUCCUUGUGGGAAACAAGUCUGAUCUGGUAGAACACAGCAGCAUGGAGACCAUUCUGCCUAUCAUGAACCAGUACCAGGAUAUUGAGACUUGUGUAGAGUGCUCUGCCAAAAACCUGAAGAACAUAUCUGAGCUGUUUUACUACGCCCAGAAGGCUGUUCUCCACCCGACGGGACCCCUUUACUGCCCCGAGGAGAAGGAGCUGAAGGCGUCUUGCAUCAAGGCUUUAACAAGAAUCUUUAAAGUGUCGGACCUGGAUAACGACGGCAUCCUUAAUGACAAUGAGCUAAACUUUUUCCAGAGAACGUGUUUUAAUACCCCACUGGCACCUCAGGCUUUAGAGGAUGUCAAGAAUGUUGUGAGGAGGAACAUGAGCGAUGGAGUCAAAGACAACGGGCUCACGCUCAAAGGCUUCCUGUUCCUGCACACCCUCUUCAUACAGCGAGGUCGCCAUGAGACCACGUGGACUGUGCUGAGGAGGUUUGGUUAUGAUGAUGACCUGGAACUGACACAGGAAUAUCUGUUCCCCAUAAUAAAGAUCCCCCCCGACUGCACCACAGAGCUCAACCACAACGCUUACCUCUUCCUUCAGAGUGUUUUUGACAAGCAUGACAAAGACAGAGACUGUGCGCUGUCGCCAGACGAGGUGAAAGACCUGUUCAAAGUGUUUCCGUACAUGCCCUGGGGUCCAGACGUCAACAACACGGUUUGCACCAAUGAUCAGGGUUGGAUCACGUACCAGGGCUACCUCUCCCAGUGGACGUUAACGACGUAUCUAGAUGUGCAGCGAAGCUUGGAGUAUUUAGGUUACCUGGGCUACUCCAUCAUCUAUGAACAGGAGUCUCAGGCAGCUGCCAUCACAGUGACCCGUAAUAAGCGCAUUGACCUGCAGAAGAAGCAGACCCAGCGCAGCGUCUUCCGCUGCAAUGUGUUGGGUGCAAGGGGGAGUGGGAAGAGCGGCUUCCUGCAGGCCUUCCUGGGUAAAAACCUGCAGCGACAAAAGCGAAUCAGAGAAGAUCACAAGUCCUUCUAUGCGAUCAGCACGACCUACGUUUAUGGUCAGGAGAAGUACUUGCUGCUCCAUGAGGUGAUGCCAGACUUCGACUUCCUGUCAGAGGCAGACCUCGCGUGCGACGUGGUCUGUCUGGUGUACGACGUCAACAAUCCACGUUCUUUUGAAUAUUGCGCCAAAGUGUAUAAGCAAUACUUCAUAGACAGCAAGACGCCGUGCGUGGUGAUCGCUGGCAAGUCGGACCUGCACGAAGUACGGCAGCACUACAGCCUCUCGCCGCACGAGUUCUGCCGCAAGCACAAGCUCCACCCGCCCCAGCCUUUCACGUGCAACACCACCGACGCACCCAGCAAAGACCUCUACACUCGACUCACCACGAUGGCCAUGUAUCCCCACGCCCGUCUCCGCUGCAUGUGUACCUGCAACAGGUGUUCGUAUUGCCUGUGUCAGAACCUCCUCAAGUUGGAGCUGCUGCGCAGCAUUAAGGCCCAGCUCCGCAGGGUCGUUUUCAACAGCCCCAGCCAGCGCUCCUGCUCUCUGUACAGCUUGAUACAGCCAAGCGCGACCAAGCUGUACCAGCUAACACACCGCCUGCUAGCCAGGUGUUCGUACACGUGUUGUUGGCUGCCCCUUUUCCUCCUCCUCUUGCAUGUCUUCACCCUCUGUUAACCUCCCGCUGCUCUCCGUUGCAUGGCUCACCAGUGGUAACCGAAGGCGUGUCUCAGUCCUUUUUAAACCUAUUGGCAUCUACUGGCAGCUGCUCAUUUCAGUACAGAUAGCUUGGUGUUGAAUGCGGUAAUAGAAUGGGAGAAAGUUGCCUGUUUGUGGUGUGUGGACUGGGCUUUAGUGUGUGUGUGUGCGCGUUUGUGUGUGUGUGGCUCAGUUUAAUCUAAUCCUGGCCAGUUUAUAUUUCUUGUUCUUGGUCAUACUUGACCUGGACUCAGUGACGGAGCUGUUGUGUUCAGCACUAACCCUUUGUGUUAAGUAGAUGAUGGUUUCCUGUAAUACUAUUAAUAGUGUGGUAUUAAUAGACUAGCUCUGUCAAAGGUGCCACACACCACAUUGAACGGCCAACAUGUUUAGGCUUUGGUUAGAAUUUAACUUUAGAUGUGCUUUUAGCAAAGGCACAGGAGACAGAAAGAUGUGUAAAGUAAAAAAUAUUAGAAGAAGAAGAUAUUAUUAUUUAAUAAUAAUAAUAAUUAAUUAAUAAUUAAUUAAUCAAUAAUAUUAAUUAAUUAAUAUUAAUUAAUUAAUAAUUAUAGUUAAUAAUAAUAAUAAUUAGUAAUAAUUAAUAAUCAGUCUGGCUGCCAUGUGGUGUGUACAGUCUAAUGUUUGUAGGUGUUUGUGGAUUUAUCCAGCUACAGAUGUAAAGUCCUGCCUAAGUUGUUCCUGAAAAGCUUUGGCCUCUUUUUUGUGCAUCAGCAGAUCCGGGUGAACGAACUGGAUGUUGUUUUCCAGCUCCAAGGCUAAAAAAAACUAGAUCUGACACAUAUAGUGGAUUGUUUCAAAGCUAAUUGAUGAUUUAAAAAUGAUCUCAAUUUAGAUUCCCAAAUAUGAUGACGAUGAAGAAUUACUGGAUUGUUAGUUCACAGCAGUGUCACCCAGCUCUGCCUGUUGCGUUGAGGUGUGUGUGUACGUGUGGAAGCCUGCUGGGCUGGGCUGGGUGGAGGCUGUGGGGGGGCGACCUGCUGUCACUGGACUAUUCCACCUGAUGCAGCAGGUGUCGUUGAGUCGCUGACAUGGAGGCUUCCAGCUUCACAGGUCUCCUGAGCCGCUAGUUCCCGCGCAGGCACAUGGCGCAGGCGGACCUGAAGAACUCGACCUUCUGGCUGCGGGCGAGCGUCGGCGCCACCGUGUUCGCCGUGCUGGGCUUCGCCAUGUACAGAGCGCUCCUCAAGCAGCGGUGAUCAGGCGGCUCCCUCCCCUCCUAAAAGACUGACGACCAGUCUCCAAGUCUCAGACCUGAAACAAAUGAGGAAAAUGAUUAGUACAUUUUAUAUGAAUAAAAAAAAGAGAAUAA